AAUUUAAAUGAGAUUUUCUUUCUAAUAUUCCAGUGUGACCCAAGUGGCUGUCUACUUGAACUGAUGGCACAGCUGACUAUAAUCAUGGGAGGACAGUCCAUCUGGAAUAACAUACAAGAGGUGUUACUUCCAUCCUGUGGCUUAAAGAGGGUAACUGAUUUGCCCCAGCUCUCAUUGCCAAUAAGAGACCACUGUGGGACUCAGAUGAUUCUGGGAGCAAAAGAAGAAGGACAGUGAUGCCGUGAUCCAGGCUCCCUCUGGGGUCUCCCCAGCACUUGGAUCGGCACCUGGUAUAAAGUAGGUCUCAGUCCGAGCCAGCUGAGUGAGUGAGUGACUCACAGGCAUCGAAUGCAUAACAUCAGUGAAUCAACAGCAUUCUUUGUAGGACUCAGAGAAUAAGCUGAGUGUCCUGUGGUCUUC